CCUUCUUUGUGUGGCUGAUAGCAGCUAUUUAAAACGGCAACAGCGAAUCAGACGAGUCUUCCUUACUGCAAGAUUCCUUCUUCUGUUCAAAUCAUCUUCAAGAUCGAAUACAAUUGGUCCGCUGUCUGCUGCAAAGGUUAUGACUGUGGGCGCAAAUUAUUUUCUCGAAAACCAGAACACGGUCCAAUGGUCAGGGGAGGUCACUGCUUCUCUCUGUGUGCCAGUAACAGACACAAACGGUUAACAACCGGGCACAGCAUCAAAGAGCCAAGGUAUGUCCCCACACACACACACAUUCAGGCACACGCACACACACACACACACACACACACACACACACACACACACACACACACACACACACACACACACACACACACACACACACACACACACACACACACACACACACACAGCCCACUCUACGUCUCCUCAGCUCUCUGUCUCCCUCUAACUGAGUGAACGCAUCACUCUGUGCUAAGUGGAAGUCUCACUCACCUCUCAUCCUUUAACGAUGUCAUCCUUCCCUCCGCAACUCACACAUCACACAUCAGUUAGUUAUUUUGGGUGGGGGGCAGAGGGAGGGGCGCUGACAGUGAGGGAGGAAGUACACAGGAAGUACAUUAGUUAUCAGUCUCUGUCGUCUCCACCUUUUCAGAACCCAUCAGUAUUAAACUGCUCUGGAUGCAGGCCCCUCUCUUUUUCCCUCUUAAAAGUCUCCCGCGCGCCACUUUAAACCAGGCCUCAGAUCUAAAUGACACUUCGCACUACACAUGCAUGGAGACAAGUGAAUUAAAUAUUGAAAUAAAAGACAGCAACAAAAAAAAAGAAAAAAAGAAAAGAGGACAGGAAAAAGAGGAAGAAAGUCAUUGUUCCUGUGGCAGGUCAAAAGGGAUUUAUUGGCAAGAGGAGGAGUUUAGUAAGGGUCACAGGAAUUAGUCUUUCACUUAAAACAUGGUCACGUGAUCUUGUAAGAGUAGGUCGUCUAUGAUCAAGCAGAAUAAUCAUCACAUUCAGCUAGUCCAAAAAGGUACAAUGGAUUCUAAUUUGCAGGACAUCAGUGUUUUUAUUUUUAUAGAGAACAAUAAACAAAUAUCUUCCUAAAUUUCAUUUUUGUUCAUGAUUUUAAAUGGCCUAAUUUACGCAUCCAAUGUGCUGUGUGUCCCUCCAGCAUCUCCGUACAUCUAGGGGGUUGAAGCGGGAUAAAACAGGAGCAGUGGGGAGGGGGUACACGACGACACACAGCGGGGGGGAGGGGGGAGGUGGGGGGUUGUCUGCAUGCUUUGCCAUAAUUCGGGACCUCAGUGACCACACUAAUUAUUUUUCUAGUCAGCCGUGUGUGCAGAACCUGCCUGUUAGUUGUGCGAAUGCUUAUUUAAGCUGUGUAACUGACGUCCAUAUGGUUUUCAUCAUCAUAAAGAAAUGUUUUUAGGGGGUUAUGUUUUUACUAGGCCGGAGCAGAGACUUGUCUGUCAAAGCCAUGAUUUGACUAGCCUUCCGGGGGUUUAUGUGUGUAACAUUCUGAAUAUUAAAUAUGCAAUUGAAAUGUGAAGUAGAGUAUAACUGUAAUGCAUUUUUCUUGUUGCAUCUAAAAAUGACAAUAAAUGAGCAUUUGACAUA